rnacentral:rRNA from 1 species
UACGGAGGGUGCAAGCGUUAUCCGGAUUUACUGGGUUUAAAGGGUGUGUAGGCGGUCAAUUAAGUCAGCGGUGAAAUCUCCGGGCUCAACCCGGAAACUGCCAUUGAUACUAUCUGUCUUGAAUAUCGUGGAGGUAAGCGGAAUAUGUCAUGUAGCGGUGAAAUGCUUAGAUAUGACAUAGAACACCAAUUGCGAAGGCAGCUUACUACCCGAAUAUUGACACUGAGGCACGAAAGCGUGGGGAUCAAACAGG